ensembl:lncRNA
CCACAUUUAAAGCAAAAAAGUUGCCAGUAAAUAUGUUAGAUUCGCCACUUAUAAGCAUUUGUGGAGAAUAUUUAUGGAACAUGCUCAAAUGAUUUUUUUAUGUCUCAUUACAGAAACAAAACACACAUCACAGCUUCCACAAAAUCUGCAUACUGACUGUUUACUAUUUGUUUACUCUUUGACUUCUAUGGAAACCUAAUAUGUCCUUUUAUUGUCCCUCUCACGUCUCAGUAUCUAGAUUAAAUGCAUACAUAAUACAUUAAGACCACACUGGCUUCAUUAAAGGUCAAUACAGUGGUCCCUUGUUUAUCGCGGGAGUUAUGUUCCAAAAAUAACCCGCGAUAGGUGAAAUCCACGAAGUAGCCAACUUUAUUUUUUACAAUUAUAUAAUUACAAUUAUAUAUAGAGAUGUUUUGAGGCUGUAAAACCCCUCACUACACACUUUACACACUGUUCUCAGACAGGCAUGAACUUUUUCACACUUUUCACUCUUAUUUAUAGACCCUCAAAGUUCAAACCUUUGUAGAAAAAAUAUGUCCAGUAUUACAGAAUGAAACCAAAGGCACCCGCCGUUGCCUUUGACGGUGCAAAGCAUUUCGUUGACAUUGUUGUGUUUGUUGGGGAGAAAACGUACAAACAAUUUGACAAGCUGAACGCAUUCUGUACUGUACAGAAGACCCACACAAGAUUGAUUGACAGUGGUCUACAGCCCAUCAGGACGCAGAACACAAUGCGCUGUCAAAAAAACAAAAAACAAACAAACCAAAAAAAAUAACCCCAAAAACCAUGAAAAAUUGCACACACAAAAAAUCCGUGAAUCAGCGAUGUCGCGAAAGGUGAACUGCGUUAUAGCGAGGGACCACUUUACUCCUCAAAUAAUACACUUAGACUAUUUAAUUUAAUUGCGAGAACAAUAAGUUGUUGUUACAGUGAUGGAGAAAAAGCUUUUGAUAAGGUAAACUUUGGAUUUAUUAAAUCAUUCUAUAACUUCUGCAUACCACCCCAUUAGCCACUGGCACUACGAAUGGAAUAAUCUCACAAAAUGACACACGAAACAGGGGUACUAGGCAAAGAUGCCCAUCACCAUCAGUCUUCUUUUUUCUUUUUUAAUUGAGCCACUCAUAGCGCCUAAAGUAUCUGUCAAAAUAAAAAUAUCAUCUGAAUCCCAACAUCUAAUAAUAACCUCAAGAUUAAUCUUUAUGCAGACGACAUUUGACUUUUCAUGCAAAAUCCAUAUUCAUCACUACUUGAAACAAUGAGCAUUAUCAAGGAAUUCUUAAAAAUUUCCAACCAUUCCAUAAAAUGGUCCAAAUUCUUCCACUGAUAUCUCCAUAGCGGGGAUGAGACAACGAACUAACUAUCCCUCUGUACACAAAGUAUUUGAAAAACACUAAUGUUUCUUGAAUUGGAGUCACGGACACGAUAAAAAACUGUAGCGUAACGAUGCAUGCCUGCUUGUGUUGUGAGUGUGUCUCAUGUAAAAUUCAGUGUGAGCAUCAUGGCAGAAGCCAGUGUGUGCCAUAAGUGACUAUAAAAAGCACUCACGCACAUUUAAAC